UCAGUACUAAAUGGUUUCUGAAAGCCCAAGAGGCUAUCCUGUAUGGUACCAACAGCAACGUCCCAUUUGCCAAGGAUAAAAUAAUGACAGCUCCUUGGAUAUGGCGAGAUAUUUGUAAACACACUGCAAAAAACCCACCUACACUUCCAGAAUGUGGCUACAGAAACCUGCUUAUUUGAAAAUAACUGCAAAUAUUUUCAAAAACUGGCACAUCUGAUCAGAUUUGAGAGCACAGUGAAAUUGCUGAAGCCAACCCCUCAUUUCACCAUCUCGUUUGUGACAAAUAAAUUUGAGGAGCCGGAAUUCCUCUGU